ACUUGGCUGGCUGAGUCCCUAGAGCAUGUGACUCUUGAUCUCAGGAUCAUGAGUUCAAGCCCCAUGUUGGGUA
rnacentral:tRNA from 1 species